ensembl:lncRNA
CAGACAAUGAACUGCAUAAGAGAUGUAGUUCUGUUUGUUUCUUCAGGAAAACCUCCUAUGAGCAGAGAAGAUGGCAAAGAAGAAAUCCCAGCUAUUUGAAAGCCACAGGUGAUAUUCCAGUAUUGUAGAUGAAUAAGAAACCACACUGUAAUUAAACUUGAAAGAUACCAACAUCUCUGAGCUUGACAGCAUCCCAUGGAAGAUAUAUUUCCUGCUGCUACAGAAACAUAAAGGUGAUCCAAAGGCUCAUCAAAAGUUCUCUAGCCAACUUCAUUUCCCCACUCUCACUGCUCUGCUCAAGCCGUGUUCCUCACUAAGGAAGGACAGAGGGGAGCAGACGCACGGCGGCAGCAGGGGCACGAGGCCCUGCCCACGGGGAACCGCGGCGCCCAGCGCUCCUUGUUC